UACGUAGGGCGCAAGCGUUGUCCGGAAUUAUUGGGCGUAAAGAGCUCGUAGGCGGCCUGUUACGUCUGCUGUGAAAUCCCGGGGCUUAACCCCGGGCGUGCAGUGGAUACGGGCAGGCUGGAGGCAGGCAGGGGAGAACGGAAUUCCCGGUGUAGCGGUGAAAUGCGCAGAUAUCAGGAGGAACACCGGUGGCGAAGGCGGGUCUCUGGGCCGUUACUGACGCUGAGGAGCGAAAGCGUGGGGAGCGAACAGG
rnacentral:rRNA from 1 species